GCUGAUGUGGCUCAGAGGUAGAGCAGCGCACUCGUAAUGCGCAGGCCGUGGGUUCGAGUCCCACCAUCAGCUCCA
rnacentral:tRNA from 1 species